CGGUGGAGCAUGUGGUUUAAUUCGAUGAUACGCGAGGAACCUUACCUGGGCUCAAAUGUAUGUUGACGUAUUCUGAAAGGGAUACUUCUUCGGACAAUAUACAAGGUGCUGCAUGGUUGUCGUCAGCUCGUGCCGUGAGGUGUCGGGUUAAGUCCCAUAACGAGCGCAACCCUAUCAUUAGUUGCCAUCAGGUCAAGCUGGGGACUCUAAUGAAACUGCCUACGCAAGUAGUGAGGAAGGUGGGGAUGACGUCAAAUCAGCACGGCCCUUACGUCCAGGGCUACACACGUGCUACAAUGGCCGGUACAAAGGGCAGCUACCUGGUGACAGGAUGCUAAUCUCAAAAGCCGGUCUCAGUUCGGAUCGGAGUCUGCAACCCGACUCCGUGAAGUUGGAAUCGCUAGUAAUCGCGCAUCAGCAUGGCGCGGUGAAUACGUUCCCGGGCCUU
rnacentral:rRNA from 1 species